rnacentral:lncRNA from 10 species
GCCAUGAUGAGCUGGGCUUUGGGGUGCCUGCUGCUUCCUGCAUUCCUGUGGGCAGGCCCAGUCUACACCGACAUCGGGAGACCUUCGUGCCUGGUGUCCAUUUCCCCAACUCUAUAGACUUCUCCCCUCCUGGGUCUGCUGCCUGGAGUCCAGUCACCCUGGGUCCCCUCAUUUCCCAGUCCAGCUCCCUGGUGCAGUCUGUGGUAUAGCCCUCUCCUCCCUAAUUAAUUCCUCUUCUAGUCAUAAUGACCAUCGAGGAGUGGCAUGGAAUUAAAGUCUCUGACUUUGGUUCUUUAGAAGCUGAAGAAAAUUACAAUUGUUUCAAUAUCUAAGCCUGUUUUUCAGCCCUCUUGUCCUGUGAAGGGGCUAAGUACCUUCCCUCUGUUGUCCCAGGGCCAUAAGUAUGGAGACCACAAAAGGCAUAUGUUUUAUAGGGGGCUGUUAAGAUGCAUACUUUCCUGUUUGCUGUACAUGGCUGUUUAGCAGAAGCUGCGCUGGGAUUGGAGCCUCGGUCUCUGUCCUCAAAGCCCACAUUCUCACCUACUACAACACCUUGGCAGGCUGCAGGUGGACAGAGGCUGUUAAGUUUCCAGGCAUUCAGGCAGUUAUAUUUCCCAGUCCCCUUGCAGCUUUCUUGGUGGAGUCUUGCCGUGGAAUGGAAAAGCCUACUUUCUAUCACUUCCUGGAGGUUUGUCCGGAACCACAGCUGGCUUUGAGGGAGUGAGAAAUAAAUGUGUAAAGCCACUGAGAUUUUGGAGUUGUUUGUUACCACAGUAUGACCUCCCUUGACCAGGGGUUGUUGGAAAGCUUUUCCUACAAAGGGCUGGAUAUUUUAGAUUUUACAAGUCAUAUGGUCUCUGUCACAACUACCAACACUUUUCCAUUGUAGCAGAAAGCAGCCAUAGAUAAUAUAUAAAUGAAGGAGCAUGGCUGUGUUCCAAUGAAACUUUGUUAACAAAAAUAGGUGGUAGAUUUGGCCCGUGGACCAGCAUUUGCAGACCUCUGCUCUUGAUGAAUACUUUUGUAUACUCAGGCUUUAUUAUAAAUAAAAUUCAAAAUGAUAGAAUCCUAAAACCAAUUCAGCUAAAAGCAGGAACAAGCAGGGUUGUCCACUAUCACCACUUAAUGACACUAUUUUAGAGGGUCUAACUAAUGCAAUAUGUUAAGACAUUUAAGCAAUUGGUAUAAAUAUAGGCAAAAGGCCGAUUGUGGUGGUUCACUCCUGUAAUCCCAGCACUUUGGGAGGCCGAGGCAGGUGGAACAUGAAGUCAGGAGUUCAAGACCAGCCUGGCCAAGAUGGUGAAACCCCGUCUCUACUGAAAAUACAAAAAAUUAGCUGGGCGUGAUGGUGGGCACCUGUAAUCCCAGCUACUCAGAAGGCCGAGGCAGAGAAUUGCUAGAACCUGGGAAGUGGAGGUUGCAGUUGAGCUGAGAUUGCACCAUUGCACUCCAGCCUGGGUGACAGAGCGAGACUCCAUCUAAAAAAAAAAAGGCAAAAAAUGUUUUCUGAUAACAUAAUUAAAUACCCAGAAGAUCCAAGAAACACUAGUAAAAAUGACUAAUAUUUAUGUGACAAUUUGGUAAGAUGACUGAAUACAAUAGACAUACAAAAGUCAAUAAACUUGCUGUGUGUGCGUGUGCACAUGUGUUAAUAAAUCUCCUAUAUAUUCCCAAUAGCAGUACCCUACACAGUGAAAUGGGAAGUAUUCACAAUAGCAGUAAAAAUUACACAGUAAUUAGGAGUAAAUUUAACAAGAAAGAUAUAUCAUGUAAAGAAUAACAGAAUCUGGACAAAUGUGAAGACAUCUGCUGACUCCGUUUCUUGCUGGGGGGAACUGCAUAGCCACAUUAGAAAGGGUGGAGGAUUGGGACCACUUUGGAAUCCACCUACCACACAGGGAUUAUCAGCUUUGAAGGCCCCAUGACCAAGCAUGGCUGUGUUACCAGCAUCUAAUGCCUCAGUUUGGUGUUGAGGUAUUAUUUGCAGUGGAAUAAAAGUGAAAUGUAUUGUACAUAUCAUGGUCAAGGUUUCAUAGAGUAAAACCACUUGAGAGUCGAAUGUGUAGGGAUGCUCACACACAUCAAAUGGUAAGAGAAGUAACACAGGUCAUUUUUGGGGUUCUAGCAUUUUAAAUGAGCACAGAGGCAUUUUUCUAGUUAAUUACAUAACAGAGAGCAAAGACACUGGAAGCUGGAGCUGCCCUCUAUGGUGUGGCUUGUUAGGCCAUGACAGUUUGCACGUCCUUAGGUGCUGUUAUAGCUUCAGCAUCAUCGCCUUUCCGACAUUCUGAAUGACUGACACACAAGUAAGAAAGCAUUCUCUUCCAGCCCCACUGUGAAUGGGGAAAGAGCCCCGGGGCUGGGAGACCUGGGGCAGGCAGGGCCUGUUGGUGAGCCUGCAUCCUUCAUGCACCUCCUGCCCUGGAGGCUCAGGCCACUGCUGUCACUGGCAAAUAAUAAUGGGACAUGAACUCACCUCUUAUUAGGUCUCCAACUGAUCCCUUGACAAGCCAUCCAGAAUGUGCACCCAGAUGCUUUUAUGAGAAAACUCAUUAGGUUGCUCUGUACAAAGAAGCAUAUGCUGAAAGUUGAUGAAACUUCUGCGGUCCCUAAUAACCAGUCUUCCUGCCGUUGUUACUAAAUGUCGCCAGUUGUCUUUCAUUUUUUUCCGGUGGCACUACUGCUUAAUUGAAACCCAUCAAUCAGUUCUAUCAACUUGUCAGAAUGUGUGGAGCUGGGACUGUGCUCAGCACCAGGCUUAGCGUCUUUGAGAUGACAGAAAAGGUAUGUGACACAGUCACUACCUUCAAAGAAUCGAAAGUCUGUUUGGGAACAGUGAAGUGAACACUCAGGGCAUAGUUAUGGGAGAAAUCAGGCUGUGCAGGGCUGAGCUCAAGAGAGCAGGGGCUCUGGAAAGGAGAGAUCCAUGUGGGCUGGAGGAAGAGGCGAGGUGAGCCCAGCCUGAGAUGACCAGUGGGGUUUAGAUAUGUGGAAGAGAGAAGGGAGGGCAUUCCCGGGGCGGGUCAUGGUGCGGGGAAAUAUAAGAAGGUGGGAUUCAGGUUGGUGUAAGCUGGGGACAGUGAGGGUCUCAGGCCAUCAGGGGGUGGGCUUUGGAGCAUGUGGGGGACAGGGAGGAGCUGGUGGCGAGCUGUGUGCAGUGCCACGGGACCUCCUGAUGUGUGGCACGCAAAGCCCCAUUGUUCUCAUCCACGUUCAAACCUGUUGUUGGGCGGGCGUGCCAUGAGCUGGGAGGAGCGGGAGCCGAGGAUGCUAAGGGCACUCUGUGGAGCAAUUCUCGCUGCAGGGCUGGUCAGGGAGCGUCUGGAUGGUUUGGGGCAACUUCCUGAAUCUCUCUCCCUUGGUUUUUCUCAUUUAUAAAAUGGGAGUAAUGACAGGUUGCUGGGAGUGCUGCUGAGGCACGUGGAAGUGAGUGGGCUCCCCUAGCCCCGACCCAGUCAAGACCAAACCAGGUCCCAGCAUAUCUCUGUGCUCCAAGGUACCAUGAAGCUUGGGGGCCAGCAGAAUUUGAAACAGACUCUUUUCCUCAUAAUCUCAGGCCAUGACCACAUACUUUUGGCUUCGUUUCUUUGGCAAGAGUCGUUUUGUGAGCUGGUUCCUAGAUAAUGAGGACCUGUGAGGAGUCCCGGCCCGCCGACAGCCUCAGCACAGGGUCACUGCCACGUGGGACCCAGGCCAGAGACAUCCUGCCUCCUAGGAAUGGAUUCCAGAGGCCCUGGUCACUGACCAGCACACCUGUGGGUGAGACACAAACCCCCUCCUCCCACACGGAGCCAGCACUGUCUUUGCAUUGUAUAUUUUGUAUAAAAAGAGCUCCAAUGUGGGAGCAUUUCCUUUUUUUGUCUAAAAUUGUCCAGAUUGUUAACACCAUCAUUAUCUGGACCCAGUUAAUUACAUUCAAACUUGCUUUUGUCCUAAGCGAGAGUUAUUUCUGCGACUUCUUACACACAGUUUCCUAAACACAGCGAAGAAAACACUAGCCUGGAUUUCAUCUUCAGCUCCUCAUCUUUACAAAGAAGGUACCAGCUGUUUGUGAACCCGCAGGGCAUUAAACGCGCAGGAGCCUUGGACGGGAGCAUGGAGAGAGAAAUCCACAGGUUCCACCCAGGCUUUCUGAGCAAACAAAACCAGGGAAGGCAAACACAGGCCUUUUGUUCUGACCCCAUGGUUCUAGCCAAGCGCUGCUUCGCUAAGGUUGACCUCACAGAGCUGAAGAGUGUGGCGUGAAUUGCCAAGUUGACUGGGGCCAUCCUGUGUGCCAGGGGACUUGGCCCUCCUCCCAUGGCCAGUUUGCCUCUCACCUUCACACCCUGCCUCGCGGCCCAGGGGCCUCGGCGCAGGUGGGGUGAGGGAGACAUCAGCAGGCUCCAUCUCCCAGCAACAGGGUCGCUUUGAUGGGUGCAGUUUCUGAGCCCGCUCAGCCAAGAUCAGUAAUAGCUUCCUCCUUCUCCUCCCCCACACAGACCUAGAUAUGUUUUCUUCUACAUGUAAGUUAUUGAAAAUAGUCAAAGGCUCAUCAAGACUUUGAAGAAAUUCUUUCUUAUGAACUCUUGUCCUUUUAAUUAGCAGGAAGUAAAUUCAUGUAAAACAGUUUUGCGAUCGCACAAGCAGAUAGGAGGCGAUCAGAAAAUGUGCUUAUCCUCAUCUCCCAGCUUGACUUUCGUAUUGCGGGGAAGUCCUUCAUCCUUCUAUCAACACUUUCUUUAUUCCUGCCUCAAAUCCUGGCUGCUUAUUUAAUCUGAUGAAAGUCUUCUUUGCCUGUGUCUGCUCUAACCCCAGAUAUGUGCAAUCAUAUAAAAUGGAUUCAUGUGUGGCUCUCUUGCUGCUGUGCCUAAGCCUGACAUUCUGGGUCACAUGCACUGGAGAUGCAGGACAGGCUUCUAAACCACGUGAACAGAGAGUGCGGACACACGGCUUGCCUUUAUCUCCGUCCCAGGGUUCACAAGAUCAAUCACAAUAUUGUUCCCGCUGACCCUGGGAGGAAAAGUCAUGAAACCCAACCCAUGCCCCGUCCUCCCAGGGAGUUCGGGAAGAAAAUUGCAGUCAAAGAUUGAAGGAACAAGGACUGGAAGGGGAAUUGUCCCUGGAAACCAAUCUGCAGGCGGCUUCCUUUUCUCCCGAAACAUGCCUUUUUUACUUUUGAGUCGCGGUCUCACUCUGUCAGCAGGGCUGGGACGCAGUGGCAUCCCAAAUUGCUUGGAUUACAGUUGUGAGCCACUGGCUCCCAGGUCCAAAACAUGCCUUUUAUUUUUAUUAUUAUUUAUUAUUAUAUUUAUUU